UGGGGAAUAUUGCACAAUGGGGGAAACCCUGAUGCAGCGACGCCGCGUGAACGAAGAAGGUAUUCGUAUCGUAAAGUUCUGUCCUAUGGGAAGAUAAUGACAGUACCAUAGAAGAAAGCUCCGGCUACAUACGUGCCAGCAGCCGCGGUAAUACGUAUGGAGCGAGCGUUGUCCGGAAUUAUUGGGCGUAAAGGGUACGCAGGCGGUUUAAUAAGUCGAAUGUUAAAGAUCGGGGCUCAACCCCGCAAAGCAUUGGAAACUGAUAAACUUGAGUAGUGGAGAGGAAAGUGGAAUUCCUAGUGUAGUGGUGAAAUACGUAGAUAUUAGGAGGAAUACCAGUAGCGAAGGCGACUUUCUGGACACAAACUGACGCUGAGGUACGAAAGCGUGGGGAGCAAACAGG
rnacentral:rRNA from 1 species